UACGUAGGGCGCGAGCGUUGUCCGGAAUCAUUGGGCGUAAAGAGCUCGUAGGCGGUUUGUCGCGUCUGCUGUGAAAGCCUGGGGCUCAACUCCGGGAUUGCAGUGGGUACGGGCAGACUAGAGUGCGGUAGGGGAGACUGGAAUUCCUGGUGUAGCGGUGGAAUGCGCAGAUAUCAGGAAGAACACCGAUGGCGAAGGCAGGUCUCUGGGCCGUUACUGACGCUGAGGAGCGAAAGCAUGGGGAGCGAAC
rnacentral:rRNA from 1 species